UUGAACUGUGCAAAUCGCUGUUCACUACUUCUUCCUCCUCCUCAUUAUGUCUUCUUUGAACCCUAAACCUAGAAGAGUUCCCAUCUUAGACAACUUUACCAAUACCCCUAUUAGACAUAGAAGAGGUAGUAGGCUCCGUAUUUUAGGAUCUACCCGUGGUGGUGGUUCUUCUGUACCUUCUCCUAGUUCUGGUCCUCCUUCCAGAACUAGAGGUUCUUUUACUCAAAGGUCUUCUUCUAAAGGUACGGAGACCCCUGAACCUUUGUAGGAGCCUUUGGUAGAGGAGAUAGUUCCUAAUAAUUUAUCUUUUCAUCAUGAUAGACAAUCACUUGAAAGCCAAGUUGCUUGUUUAGAUCAUGCUGAUGUUUACC
rnacentral:lncRNA from 1 species